rnacentral:tRNA from 1 species
GGGCGGUUAGCUCAGGGGUAGAGCACAGCAUUCACACUGCUGGGGUCCGGGGUUCGAAACCCUGACCGCCCA